AAAACAUUCUUGCAGCAUGAUUGAGGUCUGAAGACAGACUGACACAGGUUUUCAAUCCUAGCACCAGCUACUGACAAAGUUUUUACACUGAGGUUUAGUUUCUGCAUCGGUAAAAGAGAGUAUGUACUUCCAGGGCCACCAAGGACUACAGAAAACAUCUUCAAAAUGCUUGGCAUGUGGCAGAAAAUCAGUGAAACGAGUGGCUGUUAUUAUAUAAUGCAAGUCCGUAAGAAAAGAAAUACAGUCACGGAAUCAAGAGGUAUGAUCCGGACAUCUGCGUUACAUUAGACAUCAAGUCGUGAUGCUUCCUAAUGUUACCCUAGGAGUCCAGGACACUGACUGAGCUGACGGGAUGUUGCAGCUACAUCCAUGAGCUCGAGUUCCUCCUUGGCAUUACUCAGUUCUUUCUCCAGCCCUGCAACUGUGUCCGAGUCUCCUGAGAUAAAUGCACAACACUACUUUUAAUCACUGAAACAUGCUGUGACCUGUGCUGCCCUGUUUCUGAGAGGUUUACUCUAAGAACACAUCCCAGCACUUAAAAAAUAUAU